UACGGGGGGCAAGCGUUGUUCGGAAUUACUGGGCGUAAAGGGCUCGUAGGCGGCCAACUAAGUCAUACGUGAAAUCCCUCGGCUUAACCGGGGAACUGCGUCUGAUACUGGAUGGCUUGAGUUCGGGAGAGGGAUGCGGAAUUCCAGGUGUAGCGGUGAAAUGCGUAGAUAUCUGGAGGAACACCGGUGGCGAAGGCGGCCCACUGGAUCGGUACUGACGCUGAGGUGCG
rnacentral:rRNA from 1 species